AACCGCGGUUAUACGAGUGGCCCAAGUUGAUAGUCGUCGGCGUAAAGAGUGGUUAAUGUAAUAAACUUAAACUAAAGCUAAACGUCUUCAAAGUUGUACAACGCAAUCGGAGAUAGGAAACCCAACUACGAAAGUGGCUUUAUACUACUUGAACCCACGAAAGCUAGGGUA
rnacentral:rRNA from 1 species